GAUGAACGCUAGCUACAGGCUUAACACAUGCAAGUCGAGGGGCAGCACAGUGUAGCAAUACACGGGUGGCGACCGGCGCACGGGUGCGUAACGCGUAUCCAACCUUCCCGAUACUCUUGGAUAGCCUUCCGAAAGGGAGAUUAAUACAAGAUGGUGUUUCACUUUCGCAUGUUAUUGAAACUAAAGAUUUAUCGGUAUCGGAUUGGGAUGCGUGACAUUAGAUAGUAGGCGGGGUAACGGCCCACCUAGUCUACGAUGUCUAGGGGUUCUGAGAGGAAGGUCCCCCACACUGGAACUGAGACACGGUCCAGACUCCUACGGGAGGCAGCAGUGAGGAAUAUUGGUCAAUGGUCGGAAGACUGAACCAGCCAAGUAGCGUGAAGGAUGAAGGUUCUAUGGAUUGUAAACUUCUUUUAUACGGGAAUAAAACCUCCCACGUGUGGGAGCUUGUAUGUACCGUAUGAAUAAGCAUCGGCUAACUCCGUGCCAGCCGCCGCGGUAACAC
rnacentral:rRNA from 1 species